GUCCACGCCCUAAACGAUGUCAACUGGGUGUUGGGGAAGCGAUUCCUCAGUACCGUAGCUAACGCGUGAAGUUGACCGCCUGGGGAGUACGGCCGCAAGGUUAAAACUCAAAGGAAUUGACGGGGACCCGCACAAGCGGUGGAUGAUGUUGAUUAAUUCGAUGCAACGCGAACAACCUUACCUACCCUUGACAUGUCCGGAAGCUUGCCGAGAGGUGAGUGUGCCCGAAAGGGAAUCGGAACACAGGUGCUGCAUGGCUGUCGU
rnacentral:rRNA from 1 species